GCCAGGCACGGUGGCGCACGCCUGUAAUCCCAGCAGCUCAGGAGGCCAAGGCAGGAGGAGCAUGGGUUCAAAGCCAGCCUCAGCAAUUUAGCGAGGUACUAAGCAACUCAGUGAGACCCUGUCUCUA
rnacentral:sRNA from 1 species